rnacentral:lncRNA from 1 species
AUCUGCAGCCCUAGAGCCUUUUCCCUACAACAGUGAAACCAACAACGAAUGUGUCAGGAGGCGUCUUGAAGUUAUUUAUGACAAGAUAGGCUAAUGUUUAAAGAGCAAUCCGACAUGAGUGAAGAGAAAAUCUCCCAUCUUGAAGAAAAACAAUUCCUGUUGUGUCCCAGAGUCAAGAAGGAUUUAGCACAGGAAUAUAUCAACAAACUUGCCCGAAGAAAUAUCAAGUCGAAGAAAAUGUCAUCACCGUAGACAUCAGUGGACUCAUUCUGGACCAUCUUGACACUUGCUGCAGACAAGCCAAGAAAGUAAACUGGGCAAGAUGAAUCUAAUUGAAAAAUGGAUCUGUUCACUUGAAUUAAAUAAAUCACGACACUUGAGAAAUUGUAUGGCAAUGCUAUUGUGACCAUGGAAAAGAAAAUUAUUCCACAGGAAAGGACUGGACAAAGCUAACAAUAGCAACAGACAGCAGAGCUACAGAGAGUCCACAGAUGAGUCCACGGUGUCAGCAUAGCCACAGAGGACAGUGCUGAGACAGCCAAAGAAGUGAUGGGAUGAGCAAACAGGAAACGAGGGGGGACAGUCUCUGCCAAGUGGAAAGGUUGACAGCUGUCAACCCUGCUCCCAGUUCCAAGUCCUGAGUGGGCUUCCUAAAUGGACAUGGAAUGAUAGCUGGAAGAAGAAAUAAAGCUCUCCUUAUUUCACGUCUCCUACCUAAUACAGUGGUCCUUUGUGUAAGAUGAUAAGGAGUCCUGGAGAGUGGAUCUAGCAUUUUGGAUCCCAAAAGAACAACCACAGUCACAAUGAAGACACAGUGGUGAUGUCCUGCAACAGCAGCCCCGCUGACCAUACCCACUUCUGCCUGGGCAUGAAGCCAUGUGACACCUCCUCAAACACAGGUGCAUUGGCCCCGGGGCCUCUCUGCCCAGUCCUUUCUCUUCUCCCUGGAGCACCUGGCCUCCCACACCUGCUGCUGAUGUCUUUAUAUAACAACUGCUCUGCCCAUUAUGCAUUUAAGACUGUGAAAUAGACCUGAAGUACUUUAAUAAAAAGAAUAUUCUAUAUCC